rnacentral:rRNA from 1 species
GCUAACUACGUGCCAGCAGCCGCGGUAAUACGUAGGGUGCAAGCGUUAAUCGGAAUUACUGGGCGUAAAGCGUGCGCAGGCGGUCUUGUAAGACAGGUGUGAAAUCCCCGGGCUUAACCUGGGAACUGCAUUUGUGACUGCAAGGCUAGAGUACGGUAGAGGGGGAUGGAAUUCCGCGUGUAGCAGUGAAAUGCGUAGAUAUGCGGAGGAACACCGAUGGCGAAGGCAAUCCCCUGGACCUGUACUGACGCUCAUGCACGAAAGCGUGGGGAGCAAACAGGAUUAGAUACCCCUGUAGUC